rnacentral:lncRNA from 1 species
GGGGCAUCAUGGUUUGGGGCUGCUUUGCUGCGUCAAGGCCUGGAUGGAUUGCUAUCAUCGAAGGAAAAAUGAAUUCCCAAGUUUAUCAAGACAUUUUGCAGGAGAACUUAAGGCCAUCUGUGUACCAGCUGAUGCUCAACAGAAGAUGGGUGUUGCAACAGGACAAUGACCCAAAGCAUAGAAGUAAAUCAACAACAGAAUGGCUUAAACAGAAGAAAAUACGCCUUCUGAAGUAGCCCAGUCAGAG